CCUCCACCUCCACCUCCUCACUAUUCUACUCCUAAUCAAUCGGCGGCAUCGAACGAUCCUCAUGCUUCAGCGAAUCCUUCACCAAAUCAGUUUCAUUGACCAUCUUGGUGAUGAUACUUGUGGUUGUUAAUGGUACUUCUAUUUGCAAUUAUGGUUGUAGAUGAUGGAGCACUUGGAUUACUUGUGAACUUAUUUGUGAUAUAUUGUGAGACAUGUGACGUUUGUGAUA